GACGAACGCUGGCGGCGUGCUUAACACAUGCGAGUCGAACGGAAAGGCCCUGCUUUUGUGGGGUGCUCGAGUGGCGAACGGGUGAGUAACACGUGAGUAACCUGCCCUUGACUUUGGGAUAACUUCAGGAAACUGGGGCUAAUACCGGAUAGGAGCUCCUGCUGCAUGGUGGGGGUUGGAAAGUUUCGGCGGUUGGGGAUGGACUCGCGGCUUAUCAGCUUGUUGGUGGGGUAGUGGCUUACCAAGGCUUUGACGGGUAGCCGGCCUGAGAGGGUGACCGGCCACAUUGGGACUGAGAUACGGCCCAGACUCCUACGGGAGGCAGCGGUGGGGAAUAUUGAACAAUGGGCGGAAGCCUGAUGCAGCAACGCCGCGUGCGGGAUGACGGCCUUCGGGUUGUAAACCGCUUUCGCAUGUGACGAAGCGUGAGUGACGGUAAUGGGUAAAGAAGCACCGGCUAACUACGUG
rnacentral:rRNA from 1 species